CCGCUGUUAAUCUCCUUUCCGGACGGCUGAAGGUUUGGGCAUACCAGAAGCUGCAGGAGAAAAGUGCUGUCUUGGAUGACUGGGAGUCAUUUAUAACCGCGAUGGACUCUCGGUGCCUUACCUCCAAGAAAGCUACUCCCAAGCCUGCUCCAGGUUCCCGCAGAUUUUUGGUACCUACAGAAAAAGAUGACUCCAUCCUGUAACAGUACAAGCCCAACUUCAGCGACCGGCCUUGUCAUUCUGGCUGUACCCAAGUAAUCCAUAAAACUCCAGUGGACAGGGAGGAACCCAUGGAUUUUGGUGAAUAAACUUGCCAUUUUUUAUUGCAUAUUAGCAAAAAAAUACACACUGUCCCAAUUGAUGUUUAGACCCCUAUGCGGGUCUUUCGAAAGAUCAA